CCUACGGGUGGCAGCAGUGAGGAAUAUUGGUCAAUGGGCGAGAGCCUGAACCAGCCAAGUCGCGUGAGGGAGUACUGCCCUAUGGGUUGUAAACCUCUUUUGUCGGGGAGCAAAAGCCGGACGUGUCCGGCUGUGAGAGUACCCGAAGAAAAAGCAUCGGCAAACCCCGUGCCAGCAGCCGCGGUAAUACGGAGGAUGCGAGCGUUAACCGGAUUUAUGUGGUUUAAAGGGUGCGCAGGCGGAUUUUGAAGUCAGCGGGAAAAGCGUGGGGCUCAACCCCGUCCAGCCGUUGAAACUGGGGAUCUAGAGUGUGCGAGAGGUAUGCGGAAUGCGGGGUGUAGCGGUGAAAUGCAUAGAUAUCACGCAGAACGCCGAUUGCGAAGGCAGCAUACCGGUGGACAACUGACGCUGAGGCACGAAAGCGUGGGUAUCGAACAGGAUUAGAUACCCCGGUAGUC
rnacentral:rRNA from 1 species